AAUCAACGCUGGCGGCGUGCCUCAGACAUGCAAGUCGAGCGCGAAAGUCUCCGUUCGGGGGACAAGUAGAGUGGCGCACGGGUGAGUAACACGUAGGUAAUCUACCUUUGGAUGGGGAAUAACAACCGGAAACGGUUGCUAAUACCGCAUAAUGCAGCGGCACCUAAUGGUGACAGUUGUUAAAGCGGGGGAUCGAAAGACCUCGCGUCUGAAGAGGAGCCUGCGGCGGAUUAGCAGUUGGUAAGGUAAUGGCUUACCAAGGCUACGAUCCGUAACCGGCCUGAGAGGGCGGUCGGUCACACUGACACUGACAUACGGGUCAGACUCCUACGGGAGGCAGCAGUCGGGAAUUUGGGCAAUGGGCGAAAGCCUGACCCAGCAACGCCGCGUGAAGGAUGAAA
rnacentral:rRNA from 1 species